CUGUGAAGGCGGUAUAAAAAUGUUUAGCCAGACUCCCUAAGACUCUUCUGAGAUGCUUGAAUAGGAGAGUCUCCUGGAGUCUUUGCUCUCGUCAUGCUGUGUCAGCGCGCUCGCAUGAUUUGGUGACCAGACGCCUAGCUGCAUCCAGGACAGUAAAGAGAAACUAAAAUUGGAUGUGGAGAAGAACAUCAUGGCUGCUGGUAUUCUAUUUCAGGACAACUGCCAGCAAACAUACACGUACGGUUUCCUCGGUUCUCCUCCGGCUCUAGUUAGACACGUCUAGUGGAGAGAUUGGGUUCACAUGCUGUGCUGGAAUACAUGCUUGGAUUAGUCCUGGAGGAGCCCUCGGAUGCC